rnacentral:misc_RNA from 1 species
UUUCAUGAUUAGUUUCUUCUUUCCUUGCUUUCAUCUUCAUGUUGAAGUGUUCUGUUCUUUUUGAUCGUUGAUCUAGGAAGGUCAUCAUAGGGGUUGAGAAAAGUGGAUCUUUAUGUUGCUAUUGUUAGGAGUUCCGGUGUUUGAGGAACUAGCUAUAUCAUUGGGGAUCAUUUAUUUAGUUCGGGAAUUUGUGGUCUUAGGUCG